rnacentral:rRNA from 1 species
UACGUAGGGUGCGAGCGUUAAUCGGAAUUACUGGGCGUAAAGCGUGCGCAGGCGGCUUCGCAAGUCAGGCGUGAAAUCCCCGGGCUUAACCUGGGAAUGGCGUCUGAAACUACGGAGCUGGAGUGUGGCAGAGGGAGGUAGAAUUCCACGUGUAGCGGUGAAAUGCGUAGAUAUCAGGAGGAACACCGAUGGCGAAGGCAGGUCUCUGGGCCGAUACUGACGCUGAGGAGCGAAAGCGUGGGGAGCGAACAGG